AACCCUCAACCCCCCUGUUUUGUAAUGAAACAGGCGUCUGGGCUUGGAUUCUGGCUGUCUUGCCGGCCCUGUAUAGGGUCAGCUCAGCUGAAAUGUACGAGCAGCUUGUAUUUCGAUAGCAUAGAAAGCUUCACUCGGCGUAAUAACACUUAUUCUCGUCAAGUCGAAUGCAGUCUUAUCGUUAGACGGCGCUUAUAAAUCGCUUCACCUUUGAGUGAAACACUUGAAC
rnacentral:misc_RNA from 1 species